GGGUUCGAUUCCGGAGAGGGAGCCUGAGAAACGGCUACCACAUCCAAGGAAGGCAACAGGCGCGCAAAUUACCCAAUCUAGACAGUAGGAGGUGGUGAAGAGAAUUACUAAGUGGUGGUUCAAUGAACUACCAACUUGGAAUGGACGUAACUUAAGCAAUUCGUUGAGAAACAACUGGAGGGCAAGUCCUGGUGCCAGCAGCCGCGGUAAUUCCAGCUCCAGUAGUUUGCUUUAAAGUUGUUGCGUUUAAAACGCUCGUAGUUGGAUCACGCAACGGUGUACGGUAAUCUAUUCGUUUGAUUAGAAUGUUCGCAGUGUGAAUCGAAAGAUUAGACUCGGACUCUGAUCUGCGAUAGAUAUAAAAGCUGACCACCGUUAAUUGCACGUGAGAUGGAUUGUUGACCUUUAGUGUGUCGGUAAUCCUGUCUUGCGGAGUGUGCCUUGAAUAAAACAGAGUGCUUAAAGCAGGUUUACGCCUGAAUGUUAUAGCAUGGAACGAACAAUAGUGAUCACGUGCGUGAUUUUUAAUAACGAUAGGCCUCUGGUUUGUUGUUGUUGGAGUCGCGUACAUCACCCACCAAAAUAUGGCUGUUGGUUCCAUAUACGGUGAUGAUUAAAAGGAGCGGUUGGGGGCAUCGGUAUUUGGCCGCGAGAGGUGAAAUUCUUGGACCGGCCAAGGACUAACAAAUGCAAAGGCACUUGUCUAGACCGUUUCCAUUAAUCAAGAACGAAAGUGGGAGGUUCGAAGACGAUCAGAUACCGUCCUAGUUCCCACUGUAAACUAUGCCGACCUGGGAUCAGUUUAGAGAUGCUACAAGCUCUAAAUUGGUCCCCCUGGGAAACCUCAAGUUUUUCGGUUACGGGGAGAGUAUGGUCGCAAGGCUGAAACUUAAAGGAAUUGACGGAAGGGCACCACCAGGGGUGGAGCCUGCGGCUUAAUUUGACUCAACACGGGGAAACUUACCUGGUCCGGACAUCGAUAGGAUACACAGACUGAUAGAUCUUUGUUGAUGCGAUGAGUGGUGGUGCAUGGCCGUUCUUAGUUCGUGGAGUGAUCUGUCAGCUUAAUUGCGGUAACGAACGAGACCACAGUCUCCAUUUAUGAAAUAGAAAAAGACAGCUUAUUGUUCGGGACUUGUCCUGUUCAGUAGGCUGUUGCUGGCUAGAAGUGCGAUCGUAUGGCGACGUUUUUGAGGAGCAAUCUGAUAAGGCGAAGUUGUGCGGUUGAGCUUUUUCCUUUCUAUCAAGCAGUAAUUGGUUUCUAUCAGUUGCUGCCAUAUGGAGAGACAACGAGGUAUAAACAAGCUCGCGGAAGUGUGGCUAUAACA
rnacentral:rRNA from 1 species